rnacentral:rRNA from 1 species
UGGGGAAUAUUGCACAAUGGGCGAAAGCCUGAUGCAGCUAUGCCGCGUGUAUGAAGAAGGCCUUAGGGUUGUAAAGUACUUUCAACAAGAAAGAAAAGAUAGAAUCUAAUAAAUUUUAUCGUUGACGUUACUUGUAAAAGAAGCACCGGCUAACUCCGUGCCAGCAGCCGCGGUAAUACGGAGGGUGCGAGCGUUAAUCGGAAUUACUGGGCGUAAAGAGCACGUAGGCUGUUAAUUAAGUCAGGUGUGAAAUCCCUAAGCUUAACUUAGGAACUGCAUUUGAAACUGAUUAACUUGAGUUUCGUAGAGGGGGGUAGAAUUCCAGGUGUAGCGGUGAAAUGCGUAGAUAUCUGGAGGAAUACCAGUGGCGAAGGCGACCCCCUGGACGAAUACUGACGCUCAGGUGCGAAAGCAUGGGGAGCAAACAGGAUUAGAUACCCUGGUAGUCCAUGCUGUAAACAAUGUCGACUUGAAGGUUGUAAGCUUGACUUAUAGCUUUCGUAGCUAACGCGUUAAGUCGACCGCCUGGGGAGUACGACCGCAAGGUUAAAACUCAAAUGAAUUGACGGGGGCCCGCACAAGCGGUGGAGCAUGUGGUUUAAUUCGAUGCAACGCGAAAAACCUUACCUGGUCUUGACAUCCAUGGAAUUUAAUAGAGAUAUUUUAGUGCCUUCGGGAACCAUGAGACAGGUGCUGCAUGGCUGUCGUCAGCUCGUGUUGUGAAAUGUUGGGUUAAGUCCCGCAACGAGCGCAACCCUUAUCCUUUGUUGCCAUCAGUUCGGCUGGGAACUCAAAGGAGACUGCCGGUGAUAAACCGGAGGAAGGUGAGGACGACGUCAAGUCAUCAUGGCCCUUACGACCAGGGCUACACACGUGCUACAAUGGUAUAUACAAAGGGAAGCAUCCUCGCAAGAGUAAGCGAAUCUCACAAAAUAUAUCUUAGUUCGGAUUGGAGUCUGCAACUCGACUCUAUGAAGUCGGAAUCGCUAGUAAUCGUAGAUCAGAAUGCUACGGUGAAUACGUUCCCGGGCCUUGUACACACCGCCCGUCACACCAUGGAAGUGGGUUGUAAAAGAAGUAAGUUGCUUAAACUUUUAUUUUCUAAGGAGGGCGCUUACCAMUUUAUGAUUCUWACUGGGGGGA